rnacentral:lncRNA from 1 species
CAAGAGUCGCGGUAGAUAAAGCAGAAAUAGUGAAACGCAUCAGUGAAGCCAUGUCCGAGUGUAUUACAAUAGCUGUUGCAAAGGAGCAGCACCAUAAUGAGGGAUAUCAUUUUCAUGCAGGGAUUAUACUGGGGAAAGGAAUACUCGCAAGGAGUGCACCAAAAACCUUUAGGGAAAUAUUACCCGAGUUCGAAGGGGCUCAGUUCAAUCUAUCUUACCACCGGGCUUUUCACUCUUGGAAUUAGCAUUUGUGUCCCUGAAGCCCUAGCUGGGAAAUGCUCUGGAGAGAGUUAGGGAAUAGCAGAUAAGGUGGCAGCAGUUCAACACCUUCGAUAAGCAAUACAGGCCCUUUCACUAUAGGGGUGCGACAGGACACCUCGAUUCAUAAGUACUGAAUUCCGCCCUUAUUCUUAACUUGUCCCCCAGAAAGUCAGUCUUGUUGUAGCACCGUCAAUUCUGUGUCAGCGCCAAGAAGGGUAUGCCUGUGUGAGCAGAAGAUAUGCUCCCGCGGGUCAUUGGACAUCGGCACAAAGUACUCAUUAUUAAAGUAAAAACACAUAGUCCUUUAGUAGCACCUAUCAGCCUAUCCUCUUCUCUGGAGCGAGACAAUAACCCAUUAUCCUUAUGUAUCACUACAUAGUCGUCGGGGCGGGGACCAUCUCUCAUUCAGAAGCCCUAUGCUUGGAAGUCAGUCUUGUUGUAGCACCGUUCAUUCUGUGUGAGCUGGAAAGGUAUGCUCCGUCUUUUCUUUGUGAGCUGAAAGGUAUGCUCCGUCUUUUCUUUGUGAGCUGAAAGGUAUGCUCCGUCCCCCGUUGGAAUCUCUCAUUCAUGGAGUUGCGAUCAACAGGUCUAGGUGCGCGGCACUACUUUUUGCAUUCGAAAAUGACUUUCUCAAUUGUCUUCUAGUAACAAUGUCUUUCUAUUUCAUUAGCUAAAUCAGGUUCAAAAGGACAACUUCUAUAUCGAUUUUUUGGAUCCAAAACUUUUUCAUUGAACGAUAUAUCUGUGGAUUGGGGUGUCCCUGUAUUGGUUUCCUCUUUUAUUACCGAACUAGACCUUUCAUCGCCAACACACAAUGCAAACUAUCUCUCCAUAGGCUUUCUUUUCUCAUUAGAAUAUUCAUAUUUCUUUUCUCAUUAGAAUAUGGAUAUUGACUUUACUUCAGAUUAUUAUACGAGAACAUAUUAUCAAUAGUACCAUUACAUUAUUAGCAUCGAAACCGAGACUUCUCUCUAGGGCACCUUACUCUACUUGUAGCUAGGUCACCGAACUCUUACUUAUGAUAUGACCGGACGGACCUUCUUUUCUUUAGCACUGAACCAUUACAUUAGGGACAUAUGAAACACAUCCAUAUUGAACUAAGUAGUCAAAGAAUCAAUUAAUCUAAAUGAACUUAAUAAGGCAUUGAAGUAAUAGAUAUACAGAUAUCAUAAUGAUAGAAAGGAGUUUCAGAGUGACCCUCGUUAAGGAAACGGAGGCGUAACUACAACUAGCCGCUACACAUUAUACGUCACUUGGCAGUUACUUGUCGGGCAUUGAUUGAAGGCACCAAUAUCAGAAUAUAAGUAAUUGGUAAAAUACUUUUCCGUUGGGAGCGGCAGAGAGAAACUAAUAAGCAUUUAGGGCAGGGGCUGAGGAGUUACAUAAAAUAGAGGCAGGCUAACAACUAUGCUAGUAAGCUCAACUGGAGCAUAGGUCUUAAGGUAAGGAGCCCGAGCCUGAGAGGUGCGAAAGGCACGAUUCCGGCUUGGCACCGAUGUUAACUAACAAGGCUUGGAUCGAUGUGAAAUAAUAAGGCUUUU